rnacentral:tRNA from 1 species
GGAAGUCAUCCGGCUGGAUGAGGAACCUGUCUUGAAAACAGGCGACGGGCACUGCUCGUUUGUGGGUUCGAGUCCCACGGCUUCCG